AAUCUUUUUCGAAUUACACAUCUCGUUUUGCGAAAAAACACACAUGGAAACGUUUGAAGCCUAAAUUGUGUAAUUAAAAUAUUUUAUCGUUAAUUUGCUGUCAAAAUCUUUCGAGAAACCGCCACUGGAAAGCAGCUGUGUACAGACAAAUAAAGUACUGUAUACAGUAAUAAAGGUUUUGCGUCUCUCAAAAUUUUUGCUUGGCGCCUGAGUUGUUCUGAUAGUUAUUUGUACGACAUUCGAUAUUUUUUAUCGAGAAAAUAUAAUUUUCUGAAAUAUGAGGUCCGAAAAUCUAAGAAACCAGAUAGUGGAAGCUGGUGAAGUUGAAAGAUUGAAAGACUUACUGAAGAAAAGAUUGACAGAAAGUGGCUGGAGAGAUGAAAUGAAAGCUUUCUGUAGAGGUAAAAAUUAUUAUAUUACUUAUUUUUAAACAUCAAAUGCUUUUUUCAAUAGGGUUUUAUUUUGUAUUAUUUUUUAAUUAGACUGAUACAUGAUUUCUUUACUAAGUAAAUUAAAAUAAACUUUUUUAUACCCAGUUCUAAUGAGCAGUGGAGCAUCACAAUUAAACUCCAAAAGUGGUAAACUUAAUUGACAAAUUUGUAUUGUGUCAUUUUUUAAUUUUGCCCAAAGGCUUAUGUUGUGGCUGCUUUUCAGUUAGAUUUCCUUUAAUUGGGUCAUUUCCAAAUCUUUGCUUUAAAAAAAAAAAAA